AGGGUGUAAACGCUGCGGGCUUGGUGUUGGGGGUCCUUAGUGGGCGCCCAGUGCCGGAGAGAAGUUGUUAAGCCUGCUGCUUGGGGAGUAUGUCCGCAAGGAUGAAACUUAAAGGAAUUGGCGGGGGAGCACCGCAACGGGAGGAGCGUGCGGUUCAAUUGGAUUCAACGCCGAAAAACUCACCAGGAGCGACGGAUAUAUGAAGGUCAAGCUGAUGACUUUACUGAUUUCCGAGAGGAGGUGCAUGGCGUAGUCGUGU
rnacentral:rRNA from 1 species